rnacentral:rRNA from 1 species
AAAGAUUAAGCCAUGCAUGUCUAGGUAUAAGCAAUUAUACCGUGAAACUGCGAAUGGCUCAUUAAAUCAGUUAUCGUUUAUUUGAUAGUACCUUACUACUUGGAUAACCGUGGUAAUUCUAGAGCUAAUACAUGCUGAAAACCCCAACUUCGGAAGGGGUGUAUUUAUUAGAUAAAAAACCAACGCCCUUCGGGGCUUCUUGGUGAUUCAUGAUAACUUUACGGAUCGCAUGGCCUUGCGCCGGCGACGGUUCAUUCAAAUUUCUGCCCUAUCAACUUUCGAUGGUAAGGUAUUGGCUUACCAUGGUUUCAACGGGUAACGGGGAAU